GCUGCUACAAUCCAACUCAACAAUUCUGAUGUUUGUAAGUUUGUAUUGAAUCACUCUUCAUCAUGGCUGGCUUGCAGCCUUGCAGGGCUCAGUUGAAUCAACUUUUAGAUUUCUACGAUGUUGUCAAUGAAUGCACACCAGUUGCUCGAUGAAAUGCCUGUGUGAAUCUUUUCUUUUGACAGAGACCACUAGUUUGAUUUGUGCUGGGUUUUGAGUAGACUGUUCAAAAGAUUUCUUUUGGUUAGUAUUUUUUGCUGCAAGAUUUGAACUAUUUUGGUACGUUGCAUUCAUUUCAUCCCUGUAAACAUAGGAUAGUUUUGAUACCUAAAUAAAUAUAUGGAUUUCAUAAUUUUUGUGUUCUGUAUACAAACCAACACUCCAAUACUAUGCUGGUUUAUUGGAUAAGUCACAACUGAAUAUACACAGUUGGUCAAUGUGUAGAAGAAUCUCACAAAAUUGGUGGACUUGGCCCACGUAAAAUGCUUUCUUUUAUAAUACCUUCGGCCAGGUUUUAAACGUUUUGAUUACUUUCCGUCCAAAACCGUGGACCGACCCAAACCCGACUCUUGGCAAAUAUAAGAGCAGAGGACCAAGUAUUAUGUAUAAUAUCGGUUCAGUUCCGGAAAAUUUUUGGUCCGAUUCUCGGGUAUUAUCGGGUUGUGCAGAAUUCAGCUCACCCCUAUCUCACUUUAUGAUAUGGUGGGAUCUAUCUU
rnacentral:lncRNA from 1 species